rnacentral:rRNA from 1 species
GUGAGGAAUAUUGCGCAAUGGACGAAAGUCUGACGCAGCCAUGCCGCGUGAAGGAUUGACGGCCCUAUGGGUUGUAAACUUCUUUUGUAUAGGAAUAAACCCUCGUUCGUGAACGAGGCUGAAGGUACUAUAAGAAUAAGCACCGGCUAACUCCGUGCCAGCAGCCGCGGUAAUACGGAGGGUGCAAGCGUUAUCAGGAUUUAUUGGGUUUAAAGGGUCCGUAGGCGGAUCGUUAAGUCAGUGGUGAAAUCCUACCGCUCAACGGUAGAACUGCCAUUGACACUGGCGAUCUUGAGUAUGUAUGAAGUUCGCGGAAUGUGUGGUGUAGCGGUGAAAUGCUUAGAUAUCACACAGAACACCGAUUGCGAAGGCAGCUGACUAAUACACAACUGACGCUGAGGGACGAAAGUGUGGGGAUCAAACAGGAUUAGAUACCCCAGUAGUCC